rnacentral:lncRNA from 1 species
UCACAUCACUACCAGGGACAAUUAUAUCAUCAUGUCUACAACAAGAAUGACCACUCCUGACUCCUUCUUGCAAGCAAAACCAAAACGAUUAGAAUAACACUGAUGGAAACAAUACCUCAAAUCGCUGAAUUGAUUUCUUAAACCAUACCCCUAAGCAAUAUACCCCGAAGGUUGCUCCAUGUAUACUUCCUCAAAUAAAUCACCACAAAGAAAGCUUUCUUCACAUCCAAUUAAUGUAAC